CUCAUCCUCUCCACACUAGGUAGCGUGGUCCACCCGGCUCUCCAGUCUGCACACCGGCACUAAGUCAAUGUUCUCAGAGUACUGCUUGGAUCACAUCCUUUUAGCCUUUUCUCAAAAACCUUCAGGGUUCCUUCUUACCAAGUUGAAGGAAGUGCCUCUUCAGAAUGGCCCCAGCGUGCUUCUGUGUCCUACUGGUCUCCUACUCGUCCGGGAUCCAGCCAAAAUCCUCUGCUUGCUCUCUCCGAAGACGAGACAAACAAGGAUUCUGAAAGAAAUCAGAAUGUGGGAAGAGCAACUUCUAAGCAAGUAUGCACAAAUGUUGGAAUGUGCUGCAAGGAAAAGCAGAGGGGCGGCCAAUGAGAUGGACACAGGCGUGGUCCGCAGCCAAUCACAUGGGCCUGGCAAUGAGGGAGGCACAGGCCUGGAGCCAGGGCUGCAAGGUCACCCUCCCACAUGUGGCCCUGCUGUCUGGAACAACCAGCCCAAGGGUACCCUAGACUGCAGAAGUUAGGGUGCCACACUUGAGACAGUUUGCUCUCCUGCUACAGGCUCUUCCAGGAGGCUUGGGGAGGCCCUCUCACUGGUCAUUUUUACGUGAUGGCUGCAUGAACAGAACAGCUGACCUCCUCCUCUCUCUUAAUUUGUGUGUCUGUCCUGGCUAUAAAGCUUCCAUUCAUC
rnacentral:lncRNA from 1 species